rnacentral:lncRNA from 1 species
AUGACAGGCGCUCAGCUGGUGAAUAAGCCCCGCCUUUGGUAUUUUUACACGCAAACCCCGGAAAUCCUGUUACUUAAAGGGACAGAGGAGGAAUUUAAGGCAAAGGUUGAAACACCGAAAACAGCUGGGAGUGCACGAAAAAGACUGGCACAGAGAGGAAGGGAGCUUCGAAGUCGAUUUUCGGCCCUUAACAUCAGCUACCUAGAAACCGACAACGCAGCAGUCAACACGGCAGACAGAUAGCAGAAAGGCCAAACUCCCAGACUACACGGACGUCACUUCAGACUGCCUGGCUGUGUUUGAUGAUCUGAGUCUAUAUUUUUCGUGAGGUGAGUAGACUUCGAAAUAUUGAAAUUUGGCUGGUUACCUUCCCUUUAAUCUUCUGCAUUGUGUGUACUUUAAAGGUAGGGGUGUGUUGAAGUGAGUUAAGUUACAUCUUUUGCAUUGUGAUCAUGCAUAGAGAUUCCUUAUCACAAUUGUGAGUCUGGCAGAAGAAUGAGCGAAAUCCAGCCUGAGCCAGCUGAUGACCUGACAGUAGCUUGCAUGAGAUAGGGGGCGUUCCCCUGCUUUGUCUGCCUUCCUCACACUUUCUUUAUGUGUGUACAGUCUGCACUGGUUGGGGACAAAGUGCUAGAAUUUCCCAAUGAAAUCCCAAUGCAUAAAUCAAAAUUUAUAGUGUGCGUGGCAUUAAAAUGGUUAUGAGAUUAAAUGGUUAAGAUUUUUUUUUUUUUUUUUUUUUUUUUUUAAUUAUUGUAACUGCACACUGUGCUCCUGGGAUUGUGCAAAUGUGGGCCAGGCAAGAAGGAAGGAUCAACCAGCAGCGGUAUAUCUGUGAGAUUAUGACUGUAGCUCAGCGGGUGGAGUGAUGAUGAACAUUGUACAGCUAAUAGGAGAGGGAAUAUAAGUGAGUGCAGUGGGUGUAUUGUUCCCUUGGAUUGCACUUGGGAGUUGCAUUGCAUCAUGCAUUGAAGAGAGUAUUGAUGAUGGCACAGAACCUUUGUCACAUGCAUAUGCAAAAAAAAAAAAAAAGAAGAAGAGGAAAUAAAUGUAAAAAAUCAAUGAGUCCUAUAUUGCACUGUUAAUAUGCUAGCUGCAGUGCACCAUCUCUCAUUGUCCUGACAAGCAGAGCAUGAAGGCAAUGACAUACACAUUAGGCAUUUGUGUGCAGUCUCACACUGUAUCAUCUAUAUAGCUCACAUGCAUAUGGGAAAACAGCAGCUGUCUUACAUGUAGGUAAACUACAGAUUUUUGCACACACAUGCAGCACACACUGCAGCACCAAAUACAGCUGCGGCUCAUUCUUCUCCUUCUCUUGCUUGUCCAUGCAUUGCUCUGACAGCCACCCCCCACUAUUCUGUCUGGGAGAAAGCAGUGGGCUUUUGUCCUCAGCUGAGUGUGACGUCAUGCAGAUCUUUGCUGUAUCCAGCCCCGAAGGCAAGAUGCAUGUUGUUCAGCAGGCCUGGGUCUGGGCUUGUCCCAUGCUUAAACACCUUUUACUUAAGUUCCCUCAUGCUUAGGGCACACAAGGACAGUAAAAAAACACAAAAUUAAUUCAGUCUAUUCAGGUGAAAUAGAGAAACUUGGAUAAUCCUCUCACAUUCCAAGAAAAGGAAGAGAGGGAGUGAUCAAAUACAAGAAUGGAUAAGUGUAUCAACCUUCUUGCAUGAAAAGAAAAUAGCCAGAGGAAAGCCCCCACCGUGUUGUUGGGGGGUUUUUUCUGCUUCAAAAUAUAUAACAACCAAUACAUUCAGCCAAAUUAAAUGAAAUCAAAUUGCAUGUUUCUGUGCAUACUAAGCAGGCAAGAACAUUGAGUUAAGCAAGAGUAGGAUCAUGAGUAACAGUCUGUUUUCCGAUGGUAGUUUGGAGGGCCACCAGUAUCUAUUUAAGCGAAGGGAAUGAUUGGUUCUGUCUGAAGAGAAUAAAAUAAAGUCCACAAAAACAACAAUACAGACUUUUGCAUACACUCUAUCUUUGAGCAAAUCAAAAAUAACUUUUGUCUUAUGGUGGUUUUCGUCUUUGAUCGCAAUUGUUCUUUAGCGUCUCUACCUGGCAGCAAUUUGAUUGUCUGUGUAAAAGUGGGGGUGGCUAUUAAAAGCUUUGAGCAGAUGAAGGCUUGUUGAUGAAGGCUUGUUGUCAACCCUCCAGUGUGUCUCGGCAGGAUUUGAUGUCAGAGAUUACAGAUGAUUGUGUGGGUUAGAUCGAGUACUCAGCACUGCUCUGGGGCUAUAUUGAUCUCUAGUGUGUAUGUGUGACUGAGUGUGCCCAAGCACGACUGUGCUUUUAUCCUUAUGGGAGCUAAAUUAUGUCUAUUGAAUAACAAUAAACAAAAAAUACUAGGCAUAAAUGGUUAGCUUUAAGAAAAGAGGAAUACAACAAAUAAAUUUAGAUAAUAAGUAUGCACAAGAAUUUGAUGUAACUUUUUGUACUAAACCACAGAAACCAGUGAUCAGCUGACGGGAACAGUGUUUCUCAUGCAGGGAGAUUACACAGUUGGGUCUUUUGAAUGUUUUCUUUUCUGCAGUGCUACUUUGGGAUUCUACUUAAUAUAAUUAAAAAACAAAAAAUCUAUAUGCAAUGGACAAGAUCAAAAACAAGGAUGAAAUCUCUGUGAUCUCAGGUCGUCAGGUAGCACUGCACUGGUGGCACAUAUGACUUUGGAAAUGACUGCAUAGCCUUGGGAAUACUUCUGACAACCACUAUCAGUAUAACAUGAUUCAUCGCUACAUCUGAAGUCAAAAUUCUACCAUGCAAAAGAAAACAAUAAUAAUAAUACAUUUGAUUUAAAAUCACCUUUUAAAUCAAAUGUAAAGACACCCAAGAACACUUAACAAUAGAAUAAAACACAGGAAAAUGUCAAAACAAAGAACAAUAAAAAAAAAUGUGCAUAAACAAGAUUUUCUCUGGGACUGACCUCAUUUAUAAGGGACUGACACAAAGUUUAAAACUAUCCUGUGAUUUUUAUUAACCAAAGUAUUCAUUCUUUUUUAGAAGUCGGUCAUUAUUUUUCCCAAGGCUUAAUAGGAGAGGCCACAGUUCAAAAGCCAGAGUCUGUAACAGUGUAGGAAUCAAUUAGUGCAUAUAGCCUGGGUGAGUUGCACAUCUGUGAAGGUACCAUUAAUGCCAUCCAUAUAUCUCUUUCAGGGAAGGCCUUCAGUAUUGCAUAAAGAUGAUGUACAACCUCACUCAGAAUGAGGAAACAUUUUUGCUUUUAAAUGUACAGCAGCUGGGCUCCUUAUUUCCCAAACACUUACAAAGUGUUGUAAAAAGAAGAAUUAAUGCAGCAGAGUAGAGAAACAUGCCUUUGCCCCAGCUUUGGAAAUAUCCAUACCUGACUUUGUCCAGAGAGCAUGUGUAAAAAGGACUUGGUACACACAUUAACCAAACUUAGCUUCAAUCUUACCAUUAAAGGUCACACAGUCCUCCUAACAGUCUACCAGUAAGAGGAAGUGGUUGGUUCUCUUGCAAUCAUACAGUGUCCCUGUGUUUCUAUUACUGUAGUUUUCAGAAUAAUCGAUGUGGAGGUUAUUGAAGAAAAUGCCAAAGAAUUCCAUGAUCCUUGGAACAAGUUAGCAAUGUUACAAUGGUGGUCAAGGAUAGUCAGAACUGUGACAGCUUUGCAAUAAUGAAGACUCAGGAAUUAUAAACAGGUGAAGUGUAUAUUAAAUGUUGCUCAAGUUGCUCAAACAGCCUAAAAGUGUUCACAUGUUCCAAUUUGCCUUCUUGUCAAUCUAAGAUGUUACUUUUGAUUCCUCUUGUAAAGGGAAGAUACUGCGUAUUAUGCUGGAGUGGCUUGAAUGACAGAUCUAAGGUUUCAUUUACACUGGAAGCAGUUUGCAGUGAUAUGGUAGAGCAAAGUGAAUUACAUUCCACAACUUCAAGUAACUACGAGUGAAAUAACUGCUGGUGAUCAAUAUUAAAAAUAAAUAAAUAAAUAAUCUCAAAUACAUGUAUUUUUGUUAUAUCAAGCUGCUUCAGUGUCUGCUCUAAGUUAAGUAUGUAACAUCUUUUAUAAAUGACAGGCGUAUACACAAUUCUGUGUAUAAGUGUGUUAUAUGGGUUUUAUAUGGGCAUUCUAAAUAACUCUAUGCAAAUAGACAAACCAAAAAUUAUUGUUGCAGUAUGUACAGCUCUAGAAGAAACAUAAUGAUGCAUUCUAAAACUACCUUAAAUAGUUGUCAAUUAACUUCACAAAAAGUCUGUUAAGCAAUAAUGGGAAUUCAAGAUACUCAGUAGGUUUUUCGACACAUGUUGGAGAAUUACACAGUUCAGUUUUUGGCUUAG